UAAUAAUAAUAAUAAUAAAAAAACACUCCCCCUUGUGUCAAGUCAAAGACGAAAUAGUGAAUGAAUUGUUGCCUCACUAAAAACUUUUCCAAGUAAAAACUAGGGCUGGGCGUCUGGACCCAAAUAAUCGAAGACCCGACCCGAACCAAGCAAAAAAGCCCAAUUCGGUUCGGUUUUGAUUUAGAAAUUCUUGGUUCGGUUUAGGAUCCGACCCAAAUAUAUUUUCUCCCAAGCCAGUUGUCUGUAUAUGAUUGGGCUAGCUUCUUUGACCGGGACAAUUGUCGACCCGUAUUUUGUUUCUGUUGCUACUUGUCUGUAUAUGAUUGGGUGAUAUAUUAAACCUCCCAAGCCAGUUCCUCCUCCUCCUCCUAAACCUCCAUAGAUUGGACCCGACCUUCAGACCAUCGCCGAACUCGGAUUUCUAGAAUCCUCUUUCUCCCGCUCAAAGAAGCUAGCCCGAAUCGUCGACUGGACCUGUACCUUCAACAACCCGUCGACGACAAAUCAUCACCUCGUUCGAAAUCGGCCUAAGGCAGCUCCCUAGCUCACAACCACGACGAGGAGUAUUGAAGCUGAAAAGGAGAGGGCUCGUUGUUUUGCCCACAUCGAAACCCGAUCUGCAAGAAGAAGAAGAGGAGGGGUCAGAUUUUGCAUUUCAAAUGGGGGAGACAUGAUAGUUUAUAUUUGGGAUUCACUUUCUCUGGUAUCUAGGCAAAGCCACCGCGUGUC
rnacentral:lncRNA from 1 species